CGGAACGGGUGAGUAAUGCGUGACCAACCUGCCCCAUGCUCCAGAAUAGCUCUUGGAAACGGGUGGUAAUGCUGGAUGCUCCAACUUGACGCAUGUCUUGUUGGGAAAGUGUUUAGUGGCAUGGGAUGGGGUCGCGUCCUAUCAGCUUGUAGGCGGGGUAAUGGCCCACCUAGGCUUCGACGGGUAGCCGGCCUGAGAGGGCGGACGGCCACAUUGGGACUGAGAUACGGCCCAGACUCCUACGGGAGGCAGCAGACU
rnacentral:rRNA from 1 species